rnacentral:tRNA from 1 species
AGAGACUUAUUUGUCAGAGCAAUCUGGUACAUAAGUAGAAAGACGACGAUACAACAAACACAGGCUUAAAGUUAAUUUCUAUUCGCUUAGCUGUCAUUUUUUUUACUGAAAAAUUACCCAACAAGUAGAGUCUCGUAGCUCAGCUGGUUAGAGCGCUACACUGAUAAUGUAGAGGUCGGCAGUUCGAGUCUGCCCGAGACUACAAUAUCUUUUAAUUUAUAAUUGAAAAUUAAGACUACAAUUUGGGUGCUUCACAGAAAUAAAGAGAAUCUAGGGUUAGCAAUGCCCCAAACGGGGAUUAUUGCCCCUGUUUCAACUAUGGGGGAUUAGCUCAGCUGGCUAGAGCACUUGAUUUGCAUUCAAGAGGUCAUCGGUUCGACUCCGAUAUUCUCCACUAAUUAAUUGAAAGCCUUCAAUAUUAAUCAAUAGUUUUCUUAUUGAGUAUUAAUUAAAGGUUUAUUGAUUAACUGAAGUUCUUUGACAUAUUGAGAAUACAAGAGUUAACUAUUAUAAAAAUUUAUAAUAGAGUAACGAGCAAAUAAUAGAGAAUAAAUUUUAGAAGCAAUUUUAAAGAAAGAGUAACUAAGUUAC